AUCCCAUAAAUUACUUUAAUGGAGCAGUAAUUUUCUCACACAAGUUUGUGAUUUUGUGGCUAAUCUUCCAAGAACAUAUGUUCACAAGCACUAAAGACAGCACUCUGACUUACAGCACGGGGUAAUAACAGAGAUAGACUUCAAGGGAGCAAUUUCCUUACCAACCCUUGGUAAGAACGCAGGAAAAUGAUGUGAACAUCAUGGAUUCAUUUGUUAAUUAGCAGACUGAUCAUUAAUCUACACUGGCUUCUAUUUACACAGGAAGGGCACCGGCUCUGGCCAUCCUAUAGUAAGCUAUGGAGACAGGCAGAAUUGCGUAGCUUUGCUCCUUACUGGUUCUGGUCCUUAAUCCUCAGUGUAGGAUCAAAUAUCUUCACUGUCAAAUUGUACCUUAUCCUCUUGGAAAGACUACUGAGAUAAAAGAUGAACACAGGUGUUCUACUUUUGUGGAGCCUGAUUUUCAAUGUCUGUGCUAAUUGUACCAGUUUCAUGGUUCCACCACAUUCGGAAUCCAUCUGGUGGGCACAUAUUUUCUGUUAAAAAAAUCAUUUUAUGUUCCUUUGUUAAAAAACCCUAAAUCCCAACGGCACCAAAAUCCUUCAGCGAGAGAAAGUGAUAUCCUACCUCCAAAAUAAGAAUUUGUGGUUUUAUCUAUCCCACCUUACAAACAUGACCUAUCAAUUCAUAUUUGUUAAAGAAACAACAUAGAAAGCGUUCCAAAAUGUUUUAUAAGCAAUGACAAAAAGAAAAGCAGGAUUUUUAAUGCUAAGUCUUGUAAUUCAAGAAAAUGAUCCUACAUGAAUCAAAAAGUGACAAAAUCCUGCUACCCGCAGCAUCAGAAGUGACACUUUCAAAGACUUAACUAUUUUUCUUUAAUGGCAUAAAUAGGACAGUGCCUUCUUUCUCUUUCUAAACAGAGAUUCUAAGAACAGAUUUUCCUUAAGAAUGUGGAAAAUGUCACUUCUGUUUCUUUAAAAAGCAUUUUCUAAAAUGUGGUGGUCAGGGAAAUAAAUGGCAAACUACAACAAAAUUUGAGGGACUCUAAUCACAUGAAGCUGUCACAGCUGCAGAAAUUUAAUCUAGUCCAUUAUGUGUGUGUUUUUUGUGUGUGUGUAUGUGUGUGUGUGUAUCUAUAUAUAUAUAUGGUGGGGGGCUACCUUUUGGUCACCAAAAAUUUUAUUUUUUACAUUUCAAACAUAGGUUUCUCUCUUGAAUCCAGGAUUCAAAAGAACCUAUAAAUACAUGUAAUGUUAAACUUUCAGCCUGCCCCAGAAGCUUUCUAGUAGGCCUUUUUCAAAAUGCACUGUCGGCUAAAUCAGAAACUCUGCUUAAAGUUUUUAUCCUAAACUAGACAUUUUAAAAAAUUUAGACCAGUCUUUGAUUGCUAUCCAUAAACUAAUGAGCUUUACCUAUGUAGAAAUAAUAACAAUAAUUACAUUUUUGGCCUUAAAAUUAUUUUCAUUUGAAGUUUACAAUACCUUAUGCUUUAAUGGUGCUGAAUAUAAAAAAUAGUAAAAUAUAGUUGGAAAAGAACAGAACUGAGGUUCAGAAGACCUCAAUUCUGGUCUCAAAUCUGCUGCUAGCCAUUUCUCCAACCUGGGAUUUCCCUUGAUACAGUAUAUUCCACAGACAUUGAAAGGUCUAAAUAGGAAUCAGUGACUGUUUAUUUCUAAAGCCGGCUUUGUUGCUUUAAAAACAAUAUAGACAGUUACUCCACAAUGAAGAAUGUAACAAAAGCCAUUCUCUGGGUAUUCUUACUUUAACCUUUCUUCUCCAGAAGAGUUGCUGCAGGCAUUCCAAGUGUCUUGAGCUUGAGAAGAUAAAACUUCCUUGCCUUGCUACAAUGUUUAUGCAUGCAGUUGAUCCUAGAAACAAGGAUUGCAUUUUUAAGGAUGACUUGAUUUUCGUUUAAAAAAAAAAUGCACUAAAACAUCGAAUGAGGUGCAAUUUAUUUGGCAACAAACCAAGGAAUACCAGACAGUAAAUAAUGCAGAAAAGACUGCACAUUCAAAUGUUCAAAAACAAAAUGAGGAGAGCAGAAAGUGCUCCAGAAUUGCGCUAACACAGAGGGCAUAAACUAAAUAGUGACUGACACAGGCUGAAAUUGCUUUCAUUCCUUCUUAACACUUUUCACUCAAUGGCUUCUUUAUAACUUUCAAUUAACCCACUCCCUCUGCUUGCAGUUUCUCUUUUUUACUGCCAGUGAUACUUAAAAGAGAUACUAAAUUAUAGAUUCAGACAUUUUGAAAAGACUUUUUUCUACUGUUUUUGGCUUGCUUGCUUGGAAUUAAAAUUACAAAAGAUGCAGGACUUACUAAACUAAAAACAACAUGGCAUUGGGAUUCCAGACCAUAUCAGCCCAGCUGGGCAGUGACCUGCCAGCUAGAAAACACUGUGGCAUGAAAUGCUCUCCUGAUUCUCCAUGCCACUAGCUACAGUAUCCUGGGGCCUUGGCUUUUUGCCUUUGAUACCUGAGUCCAAAUUAUCCCAGUGUUUGAAAAUGAUUUAUACUUAGCACAUUGUUUCUCUGUCUAUAAGAACUUUCUUACAUAUACUCCAAGUUUGGAAACAUGUUUUUAAAUACAAUUUUUUAUAAAAAUAUAGGGUAUUUUUUUAGAAGUCAAGAUUUGGGCUUUGUUUCUUUUCUUUUUCUUUUUAUGGCUGUACCCACAACAUGUGGAAGUUCCCAGGCUAGUGGUCAAAUCAGAGCUGCAGCUGUGGCCUACAAUGUGGUUUUUGGCAACACUGGAUCCUUAACCCACUGAUUGGGGCCAGGGAUCAAACCCACAUCCCUACAGACACUGUGUUGGGUUCUUAACCCACUGAGCUACAAAAGGAACUAUGGGGUUUUGUUUCUUUAAUCAAAGAAAACAUAUUAUUUUCUAGUUUUCAAAAAUCUAUGGCAUGUUUCUCAAAAAAAUAGCCAAAACUUAAUGAAGGUGUGAAUCCUACACCGUGUAAGAGAUCCAUCAGCCUUUGCUUGACCACCAGACACUUGAGACUAGAAUUAAUUUACCAUAUGUCUCAAUCUUUAUGUUUUUGUGAAAUUUGACAUUUGCUCUCCCAACCUCUAGAACACUGGAAGAAAAUUGUUUGCAUAUGACUUCUAGAAAGAUUAUGCAUCACUAUUUUGAAUGCACAGUGAGUCAUGCGGUGUGUUAGCUAAUGGUGCUUGACCUUAAAAGUUUUUGACAAAACAGCAAUCACACUUGUGGUCAAAUUAAGAUGAACACUUAGAAAUAACAUAUCUCUGGCAUUACCCUAUUUCUAGAGCAAAAUGAAAUAAAUGAUAAGAGGCUCUUAACAUAGGUAUUAGUUUAUGUUUGUCAGAACAGCAGACACAGGCUCUGAUGUGUAUAAGCAAUGAGUGCUAGGAAAGGUAGAAAGGAAAAGGGACAUCAGGCAUCACAUGAGGCUUUUGAGUGGCCAGAUCACUUAUAGUUCUGAAGGUCCCAAAAAAUUAUAUUUAGGUUUUAUUUAAGGUAUGCUUAAGCCUGCAGGGAAAAUUACAUUGUAGACAGUUAUGGAGCAUCAGUGGAAGGCUACCUCAGAAGGCACCAGUAGAAGAAAAGAUUAUAUGGGCAAAUAUAGGGCAUUACAAACAGCUCAGCAGUCCAGAUAAGAUUUACCAAUAGCAAGAAAUCUAUUUUUAAUUACUGUUAAAUAUACAAGUGUAUAUUCACCUAGAAAUAUAUGCAUAGAAAGACAUACAUCGAUAAUUAAAGAUUCUUUGUGUUGUUGUAGUAUUAUUGGAAAAUGCUAAAUUUAUUUUGUCCACACCUAAUGUUCUGGAAGACUUCCUUUUAUUUCCUUUAUUACUUCCUCCUUCUUGGAAGUGUCAGAGCUGCAGUAUAUUAUCUCUGAGACACUGAGUAAUAUUGUUGUACAAUUUAUUUCUUUAACCAGUAAACUCCCUUCCUUUCCCCAAGAUUCACUUUUUUUCUCUUUAUACAGUGGUCUCCUCUCUUCAGCUACAGAAAAAUUUACCACUGGCAUUGAAAGGAAAGACUUCCAACAUUAUAGGCUAAUAAGACUUUCCACUUUCUUUCUUCCUAGGGUACCUUAGAACAACUAAGUAUUCUAAAAACAGUGUAAAACCCAGAAUGGUGUAAAAAUCAGAAAAGAAUACUCCUACUUAAAUCACAGUUUUUCUUCCUUGUAGCAAAUAAUAUUACAAAAGACAAACCAAAGAAAUCUGUGUAGGAAUUAUUGCCUUAUGUUGUAGGUGGUCUGUUUGCACUAAUUUAAAAGUUGUCGUCUUUUCAUCAAGUAAAUUCAAACAGCUCCCUUUAAAGAUUGAAAAGUAAUUAAACUGUCCUUAGAAAGCAGGUAUAUGUAAUUGCUCAACAUUUUUUAAAAUUAAGAUGUGACAAUGUGAUUGGAAUUUAAGUGCAACAUAUAGAUUGGGAGCCUUGGCUUUAAAAAUUCCUGUGGAUUUCUGUUUUAUGAUUCUAUUUCAAAAUGUGCUCCAAGCUUAUAGGUUUAAUUACAGCCUCACUAAUUUGUUUCCAGAUAUAUUAGGCUCAAAAUUUAAGUGUAACACUAACAUGAUAUUUAAUCCUUGACUUCUUCAAAAUAUGUGUCUGCUUUACAUUUUUGGAGGAAAAGUGACUCAUCUAGUCUGACAGUAUGUGGACUUCAUUCUGUUCUUUAGAAUUAAACUUUCAUAUGAACCAAAUAUUUUUUCAAGCUUUAAAAAUAUGCCUGUCACUAAAAGUGGGUUUUAGAGAUUUUAGUCUCCCAGCACUCUUGCUUACAGUUUAGAAAUAUCUCCCACUAGGUUAGAAUUAGGAUAAAUACAAAGGAAAGCGGUGAAAUCUCUGAGGGCAAUCUUCUAUAAAAUGCCAAAUUUAAAUUGAAUACUCAGAAAAUGGUGAUGAUUUAAAAAGAGUUGUGGCAAAUGGAUAGAGCGAUGCCUUGUACAGCUAAAUAGUUUAAAGGUGAGCAACUUGACUGCUAUAUUAAAAAAUGGAAAGCCUGAGUCCAAAAAUAAUAGAAAUGUUCAAAGCUCCAUGUAUAGCCCAGGAUUUGUGCUGCCCAUUUGUUUAAUUGGACAUUGCCAGUGAAAUGGUAAUCUUACUAGCUUUAGCAUACUUAAAUGUAUGUUCCUAACUUACAUCACCUCACUUGUAUAAGUUCAACCAACUACACUUAGGCAUUCUUUUGUUUUCUACUUUAAAUUUUGUACAGAAUGUGUGAAAUCAUUACUUAUCCUGUCUUAAAGCUGGGGAGGAAAACUCAGGAUAUUGCCAAAUUUAUAUUCCUUUAUCUGAUAUUCUAGGUGUGAGUCUUCAUCAGAGUUAAUGAAAAGAAAAAUAAGCCGAGCACAGAACAUCUUUUGUUUUUGAGUAAAACUAGAUUCUGCAUUUCUUACACUAAUUUGGACUGUUAUCUGAUGUUAUCUGAAUUCCAAGGUAGCAUUUCAUUAAGGACCUUGUUGGAUGACAGUAAUUUCAUCUGUUUAUUGGCAUAUUUUCAGCAGUACAUAAGUUCCAGAGUCACCUUUAUUCCUUCAAAAACUAUCUUAGUACCUCAAAAUAUACCAUUUCUCCCAAUCACUAACCUAUAUUCAUUUUCUCAACCAAAUGCAUCCUCAGUUCUACAUCCAUGCUUGUUGAUUCCUGCCCAAGGCGACUUUCUUUUCCAGUACCUCUCCAAAUAAGGAUGAUUGCAAUGAUGAUCGUAAGUUCUCUUUAAUAUCCAUCUCAUAAGCAAGCAUUCUUCUUUUAAAACAUUUCUAGAAAUUGCCUCUUCCCUGUCACUUGAUGGGGAUGCAUAACGUAUCAGAGAUGGACUCCAGUAAAUGGGACACAAUUUUAUUGUACCUUGAAAUUGCAACCUGAAUUAUGGUGGAGAAAUUCUAGAUAAGAAUUGAUCACCCAAGAUCAAUCAUAAUGCACUGAACCAAGGCGUCAGAGACUAAGAGCUGGGAGACAGAUCAAUGGGUUGAGCCGUAGGAAGGGGCCUGUUGGGGUGGGCAGAGCAAAUAGAUAAAACCAUCAGGGCAGGAAAGGAGAAAGAGUGGAGAGAGGGAGCAGUCAGAGGGAAGGGAGAGACCAGAGAUUUGAGAGACUGUAACAACUCACUGAAAAUGAAAAAUAGGAUCUAGAACCACAUAAAUUAUGUGAUGAGGGUUGUAAUUUCAUCCUUGUGCAAAAGUGGCAGGAAAAACAUCUUGUUUCGUCCUUUCUUUUGUGUAUAUGGACACGUGUUUCAGUUCUAAUAAUUUAUUUUCCUAAGAAUAAAUUUUCUAUUUGAAAACAGGAGUUCCUGUUGUGACUCAGUGGGUUAAGAACCCAACAUAGUGUCCUUGAGGAUGUGGGUUCAAUCUCUGGCCUCACUCAGUUGGUUAAGGAUCUCAGUUGCUGCAAGCUGUGGUGUAGGUUGCAGAUGCGGCUAGGAUCUGGUGUUGCCAUGGCUCUGGUAUAGGCCUGCAGCUGCAACUCUGAUUCAUCCCCUAACCUGGCAACUUGCAUAUGCCACAGGUGCAGCCC
rnacentral:lncRNA from 1 species